UCCAGUGUAAAGGCAAUGAGUCCCUUCUCCUGGACUGUGACACCUCAGACAGAAAAAACAACACCUGCCUACCUGGUAAUGCUGUUGGACUCACCUGCUCAGAGCCCGAUGAUGUGAGGCUGGUGGCAGGAGGCAGUCGCUGUGCUGGUGUAGUGGAGUGGCACUACCAGGGAGAGUGGAGGACUGUGGCAUCUCUUGGCAUGGAGGCUGCAGCUGCCAGGGAGAGUGGAGGACUGUGGCAUCUCUUGGCAUGGAGGCUGCAGCUGCCAGGGAGAGUGGAGGACUGUGGCAUCUCUUGGCAUGGAGGCUGCAGCUGCCAGGGAGAGUGGAGGACUGUGGCAUCUCUUGGCAUGGAGGCUUUAGCUGCAGUAGUGUGUUAGACAGCUGGGUUGUGGCUCUGCUGUUUCAGUAUCUGGUGGAAGAACCGUUCAUUGGAUUGGAGUUCACUGUUCUGGGUCUGAGCCUAGACUGAGGGAGUGUACAGUAUUAGACUUAACCGUUUUUAUCUGGUCAAUCGGUACGAUUUGCUCAGAUCUCCUGGUCCAGCCUGAUAUCUCCCUGACUGACUCAAUGGGAGGGGUCUCCAGGGGCCACGAGGGGCCAGAGGUGUUCAGGGGCCACAGCUUCACCAUCACCUGCUCCACUCAGCCACAGUACCCAGGAGGCUCCUUCCUCCUCACGUUCACCGGCUCCAACAGAACCCAGACCCAGCCAGCUGUCAAUCACUC